rnacentral:rRNA from 1 species
UACAGAGGGGGCAAGCGUUAUUCGGAAUUAUUGGGCGUAAAGGGCGCGUAGGCGGCUUGGCAAGUGGAAUGUGAAAGCCCUCGGCUCACCCGAGGAUCUGCAUUCCAAACUGCCUGGCUUGAGUAUGGGAGAGGAUGAGGGAAUUCCUGGUGUAGCGGUGAAAUGCGUAGAUAUCAGGAGGAACACCGGUGGCGAAGGCGCUCAUCUGGCCCAAUACUGACGCUGAGGCGCGAAGGUCAGGGGAGCAAACGGG